rnacentral:rRNA from 1 species
UACGGAGGAUCCAAGCGUUAUCCGGAAUUACUGGGCGUAAAGAGUUGCGUAGGUGGCAUAGUAAGCAAGUAGUGAAAGCGUGUGGCUCAACCAUACUCACAUUAUUUGAACUGCUAAGCUAGAGGAUGAGAGAGGUUAUUGGAAUUCCUAGUGUAGGGGUAAAAUCCGCUGAUAUUAGGAAGAACACCGAUGGCGUAGGCAGGUAACUGGCUCAUUCCUGACACUAAGGCACGAAAGCGUGGGGAGCAAACAGG